AUUGAACGCUGGCGGCAGGCCUAACACAUGCAAGUCGAACGGAGUGGCGAACGGGUGAGUAAUGUAUCGGAACGUGCCCCGUAGCGGGGGAUAACUAUGCGCAAGCGUAGCUAAUCCUGCAUACUAUUGGAGCGGCCUGUAUCGGAUUAGCUAGUUGGUGGGGUAACGGCUCACCAAGGCGACGAUCCGUAGCUGGUGUGAGAGGCAGACCAGCCACACGGGGACUGAGAAACGGCCCAGACUCCUACGGGAGGCAGCAGUGGGGAAUUUUGGACAAUGGGGGAAAGCCUGAUCCAGCCAUCCCGCGUGUGCGAUGAAGGCCUUCGGGUUGUAAAGCACUUUUGGCAGGGAAGCGGUACCUGCAGAAGAAGCACCGGCUAACUACGUGCCAGCAGCCGCGGUAAUUC
rnacentral:rRNA from 1 species